UACAGAAGGAUGAUAUAUGAGAACUGGAAGUUUCACUUGAGCUAGUACUUGAUGUGCAAGGAAAGAAAUUCAAAGUUUCCAGGAUUCUGCCAGGUCUGACCAUAUAGAGGAACUGACUGGUGAUAGUGAUAUUCCAUCUUUGCCCGGAAAGAUACACAGCACUUUCCUUUUACCUGUGCACUCUGUAGCAAUGAAACAAGAAGGCAAGGAGAGAGAAGUGGGCCCUUUUCAAGAAGUAAAUUAAACAAUAUUUAAAGCUUUUAUGAUGUGCUUAAGUCAACAAAUAGUUAAAAUAGUAAUACGAAUGAAUUUCACAUGGAAGGGCAUUUCGGACAUUCCACGUGACCAGAGAGUUAUCAUGUGAAUGGAAGUUCUCUAAUCUCUUUCCUUCAUCUUCUGCAGCAGAGAUAUUUUCCCUCCCACGAAUUUAGCCUUUUGAGAAAUUGAGAAAAUGCCUCUCAAGUUGCUGGAUGCCACCGUAUCAUCCUUCGACGGUGUGUUUCAGAAGUUCAUAUCGGAGGCACCACAAAACAAAGCUAAUUUAAUCCUUUUAUUGGCUGAUAAAGACCCAUCAACCAAUCUCAGUUGGUGCCCCGGCAUGUUCUUCCCUUUUUUCGAAGAAAUUUAUCUUUUUUAGUUCAUGGUGGAUAGAAACGAUCGGAUAUUAUUAUAAUUCAUCAAAGUUAUGUUCUUUAGAAAUUUUGUUAAAUGGGUUUUGGUUUUGUUCUGGGAUUUAUUUGUUAUACUCCUACUGAGCUGUGAUAUUGUGUGAGUGUUGUGUUUAUUGCGCUAUGAAAGGGGGGAAAACCCAUGAUAGAGUUCGUCUCUAAAUUUUUGAGCUUGGAUGAUGCCUUUUACCCCUGUUUGGAAACUCAAUUCAAUUAAUUUCAUUAUUGGUCAAUAAUUACAAAGAAUGCAAUUCUUUUAAAUUUAAAAAAAUAUAUAUAUCAUUUUAAAAUAAAUAAAAAUCAAGUAUGAUUGUCUUUGAAAUGAUUUAUUCCUUUGGCUUUGAUGGAUCUUUAUCUCCAGAUUUCAAAACUUCGGACAACACUAAAGUACCACUGAGUUAAAUUACACUUUGGACCCUUCUUGCCUUCCUGGAUCUUAGUUUUGAUUUGAGAGAUGAACACUGGUUUACUUUAUGUUUUAGUCAUAAUCCUGUUAGGUCAUAAAUUUAGCUCGCUCGUUUUAAAGUUUGUCAUAAGUCUACCUUGCUCAUGAUAAGAUCUUAUCAAUGAAUUGCUUUGCAUUUUCAAAGAACAUCAAAGCAAUAUGAAAUUUCUGAGCCUUGUUAUAGAAGGUGCUUGGUUUGGAGAACACGACAAUAUUCAACUCUCGUAAGAUGUAAAUUAUAUGUUGUUUUUUUACAUCUCCAUCCAGCCUGUGAGAGCUGAACCUGUAAUUUACAAGAAGCUGGAAGCAUCAUCAGAUGACAUUACACUCCUGCGAGCUGAUGUUGGAGAUAGACCAACCUGGAGAAAUCCUCAGCAUCCAUGGAGUUUGGACUCAAGGUUCAAGCUCACUGGAGUUCCUACACUGGUCAGCUGGGAGAAUGAUGCAAUCAAAGGUCGCCUUGAGGACUAUGAAGCCCACCUCGAGCACAAAAUCAAUGCACUCGUUUCUAGUAAAUAGUCAGAUGGUUGGGAAUCUUAUAGAUUGUUGUACUGUAAGCAUUUGCUGGUUUCUCAAGCAACGCUUGUUAAUAAUGUUGAGUUUUAAGCUUUGAGUAUCUAUGAAACUGAUACGUUGUAAUGGAUUAUAGCUAAUUGGACUAUGAAGAUGUUGGUAGUAUGUUGAUGAUUUCAAAGUGAAAAAUUAAGAUGUUGCUAAUUUGUGGCUAAAGCAGCAAAACUAUAAAUAAGUUCCCCCAGUUUAGGCCAAAUUUACAUUCUGAUGCACCAAAUACAAUCUGCAAUUCACGAGGACCAUCUGCAUUAUUCAUCUCUCGAUAAUAUACCCGAGAGCUAGGACAGAACCAUCGAAACAUAACAAAGCGAACAAACUGUUGGAUUCUUCCAUUUAUAAACAGUAUUCCUACCAAAAAUUGCUCCUAAGUCCAGCUUAUCAACAUCAGUAUCAGAACCUACUUGCUAACUUUUUGAGAUGCCUAUAGCCUCCAUUACCAGCGAAAAGAUAAAUAAAAAUGACAAAAUAUUGGUUCGCUAAUUACAAUAUUUUAUGGCCAUUGCUGAGGAGCUAAUUACAAUAAAUUAGGGCCACCUCAUGGUUUAUAAUGAUAGGCAUUGUGAAUAUCUUCUUAUAAUAGACUAAAUCUUAUCUGACUAUGAACUUGGAUGUGGACUAGUAAAUGUCACAAAACUUCCACAUUCAAAUUACUGCAGCUGCAUGGUUCCCCUUCUCAUAUUUUUUCCUAAUCAUCUUUUUGCUUGGCGACCCAACUAUGUACAUAAUGACUCCAAAAUCCAUCAACCAAGUUUAUGUGAACCUCAUAUUUGGACCUUUGAGAAUGUAGAAGUCAGCUUCAAACCAAUAUCACCGUAUGGUUGAUCCUGUCGUACAUCAAUAAGUCCAUAACUCUUCAAAACAAGUGUUUCAAAGAACAUCCGAGCACAUAACUUUCUAGUUUUUCCUUGUAAAAUCUUGUUGAGACUCAGAUCUCCAGAGUAGUCUUCUGAUACUGGAGUGAUUGGGGAAAAUCCUUUUAAAUAUUGAGCCACAGCCCUUGUUCUGACAGACAGUGAAUAUUGGCCUUGAGUGCCUUGAGAUCCAGCUGGUGAAUUAUCAGCUUCAAGAAAAUGAAGGUCCUCUGUUUCGGCAGUGUUAAAUGACUCAGGAAUAUCAGAAAGUCCAGUGUGCCCCAUAUCAAAUUGCUCCUCCAAAAAUGUCCUAGGUGUUUCCAGCUCAGUAGUGUAAGUGCCAGUGGAUGCUGCAACAUCUAGUGUAGGCGACGUUUUGGUUCCAGUACGCGUUCCAGCCCAAGGAAAAUUUUCCGAUUCUAAACUUCUUGCUGAGCUGGGAGUGAAGUCAUCUCUUCUAAAAGGAGAAGAAACAAAUCUUCCCGGAGAAGUCAUAUCUCUGGCUUGAGAAGGGAGUAGUUCUGGCAACAUAGUAUUGGCAUCAUGGCCUUCAUGAUGUCGAAGACAUUCAAUUUCUGGAUCAGGUUCAGCUUCUGGUGCAGGAGAUUGUGCAACUGUAGACCCUUGAAUGUGUUCAGUUGCAGGGGCAGAAGUUGCAUUCCAAGGCUCUGGGAUCACUUCUGUAGCUGAAGCAGGAGAAGUUGCAUCCCUAGAUUCUGGAAUCACUUCUGUUGGAGGAGCAGGAGAGGUUGCAAUCCUAGGAUCUGGACUGGCUUCCCUUUCAAGAUUCAAGUGAGGUUUUGUAGAAAUGAAGUCCUUAUUUAAAAGAUUGCAUAUAUCAGCAGAAGACCCAGUUAAUGAAGGCUCGUAAAAGACUUGUUCCUUUCUUAAAGUGUUGUUCAAUUUCCAAAUGGCCAAAGCAGUGGAAGGGAUUUCCCUUCUCUUCCUUGAUAUAUCACUAGAAUUUUCUAGUGCCUUCUUCAUAAACUUAUUAGUUAACACCGUGGCCUCAUCAAAGAAAUGCUUUCUCUUUCUCGGCCUUGGUCUUGGCUGCUGAACAGGUGGAGUUGAACGCAAGGCAAGUUCAGGUGAUGUGUUCCCAAAUGGAAUACGAGUAUCAAAGACUUCGGAUGCCUCUUGUGAAGCAGCAGAAUUGAAGGGCUCUGGACAUUGCAGAAAUGGUGAAGACCGCCCACCAGAUAGCAAUGCAUCUUCCUUAAAUGGAGAAGGAAUUUCCUUCUGAUCCAAACCUUGACCUAAAGAUUUUUUUGGUUCAGAUGCAUCAUUUUGAUAACCUGGAAACAUUGCAGGAAGGUUUUCUGAGCUAAAACCAGGAUCACGCAUAACUUCAAUUUCUGGAGGGGAAUUGCCAUCAUUAAGCACUGAAUUAAGAACCUCCGUCUGGUUGCUCAAACCACGAUCUUGAGUAUCCAGAGUGUCAGUCUGUAAUUCUGUCUGGUUGCUCGGACCUGGAGCUUGAAAAUCCAAAGUUUCAGUCUGUAAUUCUGUCUGGUUGCU
rnacentral:misc_RNA from 1 species